rnacentral:rRNA from 1 species
AUUGAACGCUGGCGGCAUGCCUUACACAUGCAAGUCGAACGAGUGUAGCAAUACACAAGUGGCGAACGGGUGAGUAAUGCAUCGGAACGUAUCCUAUUGUGGGGGAUAACGUAGCGAAAGUUACGCUAAUACCGCAUAAGACCUGAGGGUGAAAGCGGGGGAUCUUCGGACCUCGCGCGAUAGGGGCGGCCGAUGUCGGAUUAGCUAGUAGGUGGGGUAAAGGCUUACCUAGGCGACGAUCCGUAGCGGGUCUGAGAGGAUGAUCCGCCACACUGGGACUGAGACACGGCCCAGACUACUACGGGAGGCAGCAGUGGGGAAUUUUGGACAAUGGGCGCAAGCCUGAUCCAGCCAUGCCGCGUGAGUGAAGAAGGCCUUCGGGUUGUAAAGCUCUUUCGGACGGAAAGAAAUUGCUUCGGAUAAUACCUGGAGUAGAUGACGGUACCGUAAGAAGAAGCACCGGCUAACUACGUGCCAGCAGCCGCCGUAA